rnacentral:rRNA from 1 species
GCUAUGCCCGAUCUCGUCUGAUCUCGGAAGCUAAGCAGGGUCGGGCCUGGUUAGUACUUGGAUGGGAGACCGCCUGGGAAUACCAGGUGCUGUAAGCAU